rnacentral:rRNA from 1 species
GGAAGGUUAAGGGGAGCUGUGAUAGCAAUCGAAGAAGUGAACUUAAGCGCCAUACAACGGCGGCCGUAACUAUAACGGUCCUAAGGUAGCGAAAUUCCUUGUCGGGUCAGUUCCGACCCGAACGAAAGUCGUAACGAUUUGGGCACUGUCUCAACAACAGACCCGGUGAAAUUGUACAUCCUGUGAAGAGUCCGGAUACCAGCGAGAGGACGUAAAGUCCCCAUGGUGCGUUACUGUAGCUUGACAUGGUGUCUUGGUACUACAUGUACAGGAUAGGUGGGAGGCUUUGAAAC